UGCAGUCGACGAUGAAGCUGGAGCUUGCUCUGGUGGAUUAGUGGCGAACGGGUGAGUAACACGUGAGCAACCUGCCCCUGACUCUGGGAUAACAGCCGGAAACGGCUGCUAAUACCGGAUAUGCACCAUGAACGCAUGUUCUGUGGUGGGAAAGAUUUUUCGGUUGGGGAUGGGCUCGCGGCCUAUCAGCUUGUUGGUGAGGUAAUGGCUCACCAAGGCGUCGACGGGUAGCCGGCCUGAGAGGGUGACCGGCCACACUGGGACUGAGACACGGCCCAGACUCCUACGGGAGGCAGCAGUGGGGAAUAUUGCACAAUGGGCGAAAGCCUGAUGCAGCAACGCCGCGUGAGGGAUGACGGCCUUCGGGUUGUAAACCUCUUUUAGCAGGGAAGAAGCGAGAGUGACGGUACCUGCAGAAAAAGCGCCGGCUAACUACGUGCCAGCAGCCGCGGUAAUACGUAGGGCGCAAGCGUUAUCCGGAAUUAUUGGGCGUAAAGAGCUCGUAGGCGGUUUGUCGCGUCUGCUGUGAAAACUGGAGGCUCAACCUCCAGCCUGCAGUGGGUACGGGCAGACUAGAGUGCGGUAGGGGAGAUUGGAAUUCCUGGUGUAGCGGUGGAAUGCGCAGAUAUCAGGAGGAACACCGAUGGCGAAGGCAGAUCUCUGGGCCGUAACUGACGCUGAGGAGCGAAAGGGUGGGGAGCAAACAGGCUUAGAUACCCUGGUAGUCCACC
rnacentral:rRNA from 1 species